rnacentral:tRNA from 1 species
AAUUAGAAAGCGAAAUAAUCGCAUUUAGUUUCGACCUAAAUUUUGGUUCUGCAAACCUCUAAUUU